rnacentral:rRNA from 1 species
GAUGAACGCUGGCGGCGUGCCUAAUACAUGCAAGUCGAGCGAACAGACGAGGAGCUUGCUCCUCUGACGUUAGCGGCGGACGGGUGAGUAACACGUGGAUAACCUACCUAUAAGACUGGGAUAACUUCGGGAAACCGGAGCUAAUACCGGAUAAUAUAUUGAACCGCAUGGUUCAAUAGUGAAAGACGGUUUUGCUGUCACUUAUAGAUGGAUCCGCGCCGCAUUAGCUAGUUGGUAAGGUAACGGCUUACCAAGGCAACGAUGCGUAGCCGACCUGAGAGGGUGAUCGGCCACACUGGAACUGAGACGCGGUCCAGACUCCUACGGGAGGCAGCAGUAGGGAAUCUUCCGCAAUGGGCGAAAGCCUUACGGAGCAACGCCGCGCGAGUGAUGAAGGUCUUCGGAUCGUAAAACUCUGUUAUUGGGGAAGAACAAAUGUGUAAGUAACUAUGCACGUCUUGACGGUACCUAAUCAGAAAGCCACGGCUAACUACGUG